rnacentral:rRNA from 1 species
CCAGCCUGCCACUGAUAAAUUCAACGGCCACGGUACCCUGACCGUGCAAAGGUAGCAUAAUCACUUGUUCUUUAAAUAGGGACUAGUAUCAAUGGCAUCACGAGGGUCGCACCGUCUCCUUUCCCUAAUCAGUGAAACUGAUCUCCCCGUGAAGAAGCGGGGAUAAAACUAUAAGACGAGAAGACCCCAUGGAGCUUUAGACUUCCAGCAACUAUACUACAUAUUUCCUCACAAUAUAAAGUUAUGCCUACUAGUCUUAGGCUGGGGCGGCCGCGGAGUAAAAAACAACCUCCAUGACGAAAGAACACUUAUCUAUGAGUUACUACUCUAAGAAUUAGCACACUAACGUACAAUGACCCGAUAAACGAUCAACGAACCAAGUUACCCUGGGGAUAACAGCGCAAUCUACUUCAAGAGCCCAUAUCGACAAGUAGGCUUACGACCUCGAUGUUGGAUCAGGGUAUCCUAGUGGUGCAGUCGCUACUGAUGGUU